rnacentral:rRNA from 1 species
CAUACUACCCUAAAUGCAACUAAUCUCAUCUGAUCUCAGAAGCUAAGCAGGGUCAGGCCUGGUUAGUGCUUGGAUGGGAGAUCUCACCAUGAACCCAUGUU